CCUGCUGCGGCAGGUCCGGCUCCGCCGGCCAGAUGGCUGUAGGUGCAUCUUGCAGAGCACCCCUGAUUGGGCCAGUCUGCCAGCCCAUCAGCGCGUGGAGAAGCGGCAGUGAAGGACGUGUGGUGGGGGUGGGGGUGUACGCAAUGGUCUCGGAGGUCUUUCCCAGCCUUUAUGAUGCUAAGAUUCCAUUAAUUGUUAUGCCGCACUUUGUUUAACCCUUUAACGUGUUGUUAUUUGCAUGGUUUCAGCAGCUGAAGGGUGAAAGUGAUUUAAUACCUCGUGUUCUGAACACAGCUGAGAACAGAUGUGCCACCACCCGCAAAUGGAAGGCCAGCAGCUCCCCAGACUUCUGCAAGUAAUUCCUCAGAGGCUCAUUCUUGACCUUGGCCAACAUAAAUUGAAGCUGUGUUACUGUGAGUUACCUGUGGCACAGAGACGCAAACCAGCCCUGAAUGGAAAGCAGGAAGACUGAUCAAAUUUAACUCUGGUAAAGGCACUAUGCUCUUUUCAAAGCAGCCAAGGGAAAUAUUUAUUAUAUUACUUAGAAGGUAGGCUGGGCUGGCAUUGCUUGUUUUCUUUUCUUUCUAUUCACUUGUGAUAUAGAAUCAUAGAAUGGUUUAAGAUCACCUAAUUCCAACCCCCUGAUAUAAGCAGGAUACCUCCCUUGAGACCGGGUUGUUCACAGCCCCAUCCAUCCCAGGUUGGAUGGGACCUAUAUCCGUAGGUCUGGUGUGAUUUCAUAUGAUAACUGAAGAGGAAGCCUUAUACUCAGAAGUGAUUCAGAAGUGUGCAGAACUAUGGGGAUAUAUGUCAGAGAUCCUUUUUCUUUUUUUUUUUUCUUUUUUUUUUUUUCCACAUAAAAGAUGCAUUUACAACAUAAAAUGACUCUGAGAAAGACCAAACUUGGGCUACUGGGGGUUAGCUGUAAACUUACACUGCAAAACACAAGUGACAGAAUUUAGUUUGCUUGUAGAUAUGUAUGGUGAUGACUUCAGUUGGGAGCUUCUCAACAAUCCUAAUCAGAAACCCUGAAGAAUAGCACUUGGCAGAUGUGCUGCUUUACCCAACCCCUCUGCUGACUUCCUGGUGAUCUUGGACCAACGUUGAUACUUGUUUCCCCACUAAAAGUAACUAUUUCUGCAGCCUCACCACUCAGCUGGCGCAUACUGACAAGCCACAACUAACUGAUACUAUCAGUGGAGCUUGCUGGAGCAUGCAGAGCAUUGCAUUAAGAAAUGACAUUCAAUGCUGCCUGAAAUAAAAGUCUGUUCCUUUGCUUUUUCACAUUAAAAAAAAAAAAAAAAAAAAAAAAAAA